rnacentral:rRNA from 1 species
AAGGCUACGGCUCAACCGUAGUAAGCUCUUGAAACUGGGAGACUUGAGUGCAGGAGAGGAGAGUGGAAUUCCUAGUGUAGCGGUGAAAUGCGUAGAUAUUAGGAGGAACACCAGUUGCGAAGGCGGCGCUCUGGACUGUAACUGACGCUGAGGCACGAAAGCGUGGGGAGCAAACAGGAUUAGAUACCCUGGUAGUCCACGCUGUAAACGAUGAGUACUAGGUGUCGGGGGUUACCCCC